rnacentral:lncRNA from 1 species
CUAUCACAAGCCUCAAUCAGUUGAUCAGAAACUCCCAAUUCUUUGAAAGACUUCAUUUCUUCCUUGGAUUCUUCCAUUUAGCGGUUCUCCACAGUGAGUUCUAUUAAGACAGUAACUUCAAAUCAACAAACUGAAUCACGUUUACUGAAAAGGGACUUAAAACAAACAGAAAAGUAAUUUUUUCUCCCAAUUUCUUUCUUUUUAUUCAGUCCAUUUAAUAAUCCUCUUUAUUUUCCAAAGAAUAAAUAAUCUCUCACAUAAAUCGAC